rnacentral:rRNA from 1 species
AUUGAACGCUGGCGGCAUGCCUUACACAUGCAAGUCGAACGGCAGCACGGGGGCAACCCUGGUGGCGAGUGGCGAACGGGUGAGUAAUGCAUCGGAACGUGCCCAGUAGUGGGGGAUAACCAGUCGAAAGACUGGCUAAUACCGCAUACGACCCAAGGGUGAAAGCGGGGGACCGUAAGGCCUCGCGCUAUUGGAGCGGCCGAUGUCUUAUUAGCUAGUUGGCGGGGUAAGAGCCCACCAAGGCGACGAUCAGUAGCUGGUCUGAGAGGACGACCAGCCACACUGGGACUGAGACACGGCCCAGACUCCUACGGGAGGCAGCAGUGGGAAUUUUGGACAAUGGGCGCAAGCCUGAUCCAGCCAUGCCGCGUGCGGGAAGAAGGCCUUCGGGUUGUAAACCGCUUUUGGCAGGAACGAAACGGCGCAGGCCAAUACCUUGCGCUAAUGACGGUACCUGCAGAAUAAGCACCGGCUAACUACGUGCCAGCAGCCGCCGUAAUAC